GACGAACGCUGGCGGCGUGCUUAACACAUGCAAGUCGAACGGAAAGGCCCUGCUUUUGUGGGGUGCUCGAGUGGCGAACGGGUGAGUAACACGUGAGUAACCUGCCCUUGACUUUGGGAUAACUUCAGGAAACUGGGGCUAAUACCGUAUAGGAGCUCCUGCUGCAUGGUGGGGGUUGGAAAGUUUCGGCGGUUGGGGAUGGACUCGCGGCUUAUCAGCUUGUUGGUGGGGUAGUGGCUUACCAAGGCUUUGACGGGUAGCCGGCCUGAGAGGGUGAACGGCCACAUUGGGACUGAGAUACGGCGCAGACUGCUACGGGAGGCAGCAGUGGGGAAUAUUGCACAAUGGGCGGAAGCCUGAUGCAGAAACGCCGCGUGCGGGAUGACGGCCUUCGGGGUGUAAACCGCUGUCGCCUGUGACGAAGCGUGAGUGACGGUAAUGGGUAAAGAAGCACCGGCUAACUACGUG
rnacentral:rRNA from 1 species